UCCGGUUUGGCACCGGCAGUCCGCCGUUGUCUAGCCCAGGUAAGGUUCUUCGCGUUGCGUCGAAUUGAACCACAUGCUCCACCGCUUGUGCGGGCCCCCGUCAAUUCCUUUGAGUUUUAAUCUUGCGACCGUACUCCCCAGGCGGGGCACUUAAUGCGUUAGCUGCGGCACCCAGGGGGUCAAUACCCCGGACACCUAGUGCCCAUCGUUUACAGCGUGGACUAC
rnacentral:misc_RNA from 1 species